rnacentral:rRNA from 1 species
AUUACCUCAGUAACGGCGAGUGAAGCGGUAACAGCUCAAAUUUGAAAUCUGGCCUCACGGUCCGAGUUGUAAUUUGUAGAGGAUGCUUCGAGCAUGGUCUGGCCUAAGUUCCUUGGAACAGGACGUCAUAGAGGGUGAGAAUCCCGUAUGCGGCCAGGUGCCUACGCUCAUGUGAAGCUCCUUCGACGAGUCGAGUUGUUUGGGAAUGCAGCUCAAAAUGGGUGGUAAAUUUCAUCUAAAGCUAAAUAUUGGCCAGAGACCGAUAGCGCACAAGUAGAGUGAUCGAAAGAUGAAAAGCACUUUGGAAAGAGAGUUAAACAGUACGUGAAAUUGUUGAAAGGGAAGCGCUUGCAACCAGACUUGCGCGCGGCCGAUCAUCCGGUGUUCUCACCGGUGCACUCGGCCGUGCUCAGGCCAGCAUCGGUUUUGGCGGCUGGAUAAAGGCCCUAGGAAUGUAGCUCCUCUCGGGGAGUGUUAUAGCCUAGGGUGCAAUGCAGCCUGCUGGGACCGAGGACCGCGCUUCGGCUAGGAUGCUGGCGUAAUGGUUGUAAGCGGCCCGUCUUGAAACACGGACCAAGGAGUCUAACAUCUAUGCGAGUGUUUGGGUGUCAAACCCAUACGCGUAAUGAAAGUGAACGGAGGUGAGAACCCUUAAGGGUGCAUCAUCGACCGGUCCUGAAGUUUACGGAAGGAUCUGAGUAAGAGCAUAGCUGUUGGGACCCGAAAGAUGGUGAACUAUGCCUGAAUAGGGUGAAGCCAGAGGAAACUCUGGUGGAGGCUCGCAGCGGUUCUGACGUGCAAAUCGAUCGUCAAAUUUGGGUAUAGGGGCGAAAGACUAAUCGAACCAUUGACCUGUAGGAACACUACUAGGUGGUUAAGAGGCGGCUAAAAGUGCCGUCUAGUCCCGACGCCGGGGCGACACUGUCAAAUUGCGGGAACAUCCUUAGAGCCUAGACUACCGCAGCCUUCCUGAAAGGGGGGUGCGCACCAGGGUAAUGACCUCGGGUAUGGUAAUAACGUCUAGGAUUGGACAAUCCGCAGCCAAGCCCUACGGACCUCGGUCUAUGGGUGCAGUUCAUCGACUAGAUGGCAGUGGGUGGCAGCAAUGCCGCUUAAGAUAUAGUCAGACCCCCGGGAGACCGGGCGGCAGAACAAAGACCGUGGGGGGCGUCCUCUCUGAGAGCCCUGCGGUCCCGAGUCUGCUGGUGGCAUCGCAGCUUGCUGCGGUGCC